rnacentral:rRNA from 1 species
UACCUCGUACUGCGAGUGAAGCGGAAAAAGCUCAAAUUUAAAAUCUGGUGGUCUUUGGCCAUCCGAGUUGUAAUCUAGAGAAGUGUUAUCCGCGCUGGACCGUGUACAAGUCCCCUGGAAUGGGGCGUCAUAGAGGGUGAGAAUCCCGUCUUUGACACGGACUACCAGGGCUUUGUGAUGCACUCUCAAAGAGUCGAGUUGUUUGGGAAUGCAGCUCAAAAUGGGUGGUAAAUUCCAUCUAAAGCUAAAUAUUGGCGAGAGACCGAUAGCGAACAAGUACCGUGAGGGAAAGAUGAAAAGAACUUUGGAAAGAGAGUUAAACAGUACGUGAAAUUGUUGAAAGGGAAACGCUUGAAGUCAGUCGCGUCUGCCAGGGAUCAACCUUACUUUUGUGAGGCGUACUUCCUGGUUGAUGGGUCAGCAUCAGUUUUGGUUGCUGGAUAAAGGUCAGAGAAAUGUGGCACCUUCGGGUGUGUUAUAGUCUUUGAUCAGAUACAGGGACG